rnacentral:rRNA from 1 species
AAUAGGUCUCGUUGGUGACCAGCGGAGGGUCAUUACCGAGUUUACAACUCCCAAACCCAAUGUGAACGUUACCAAACUGUUGCCUCGGCGGGGUCACGCCCCGGGUGCGUCGCAGCCCCGGAACCAGGCGCCCGCCGGAGGAACCAACCAAACUCUUUCUGUAGUCCCCUCGCGGACGUAUUUCUUACAGCUCUGAGCAAAAAUUCAAAAUGAAUCAAAACUUUCAACAACGGAUCUCUUGGUUCUGGCAUCGAUGAAGAACGCAGCGAAAUGCGAUAAGUAAUGUGAAUUGCAGAAUUCAGUGAAUCAUCGAAUCUUUGAACGCACAUUGCGCCCGCCAGUAUUCUGGCGGGCAUGCCUGUCCGAGCGUCAUUUCAACCCUCGAACCCCUCCGGGGGAUCGGCGUUGGGGAUCGGGACCCCUCACACGGGUGCCGGCCCCGAAAUACAGUGGCGGUCUCGCCGCAGCCUCUCCUGCGCAGUAGUUUGCACAACUCGCACCGGGAGCGCGGCGCGUCCACGUCCGUAAAACACCCAACUUUCUGAAAUGUUGACCUCGGAUCAGGUAGGAAUACCCGCUGAACUUAAGCAUAUCAAUAAGCGGAGGA